ACAGGAUCUGAAACUCCUGGCAUGAAGUAUGUGUGGGAUGGUGCAGAAUCAAGGCUAUGCAGGAGGGUGUGGGUUGAAGCCACUUCAAAGUAAAAAAGGGCUGGUCUAAGUGGCACAUAUUUGAAUCAGCUGUGGGAAAACAAGCACACAGCAGCUAUUUUUAGUUUGUGUCAGAAACUGCAAGAGUGAGAGUUGCUCAUAGAGUAGAAUACUGGCUUUGGAUAUAGGAGAUGAAGACUUUUUCAGCACCGCCACUAACUUCCGUGCUGACAGCCAGUGAGGAAGAGCCGAGGGAAGACGGCUCAUCCAAACAACCUUUCUCCAGACUUGAGAACUGAGGAGUCAGUUGAAUUGGAAUAGAAAUGAGGAAAAUGAGGGUUGGAAUAUCCUAAGUGUUAUACUGAGAGGCUCAGCUAUUUCACUGGCCUCUCAUAAAGAGAGAAAUUAUGGGUUUCCAGAACUUGCAUUUUAUGGACAUUAUCAUUAGUACUAUAUGUUAAAAAAUUUUUUCUUUUUUAUGAGAUCGAACAUCAAGUUACCCUAGAAGAGCUACAAAACUUAAGUGUACUCUUUCAGGAGUAUGAAAAGAGAGGAAGACAGCUGCUGGACAUGGAAACUUUUAAAUGCAUAAUGCAGCAGAGUAUGAGGUCACAAAAUAAAAAUACUGAACAAAUAGAACAACUUUUCAUGAAAAUAGACUAUGAAUCAAUGGGCAGAAUUCAAUGGGAUGGCUUCUGCACGUAUUUGCAGCUAGAGUAUUCAGAGCAAGUGGAUGCUUUGGCCCAAGAGAAAGAGGUUUCCUUCCAGCUGCCUGCUGCGCUGCAAGGGCUGUCAUAUGGGGGUCCCGUGCUGCGCAUUCUCUCUAUGCCUGACGACACCGUAAUCAUGAUCAGAGAAGAUGGAGCGAUUUAUUUCUGGUCCCUGCAGCUGAAGUUGAAAAGAAGAAAGAGAGUUUUUGACAAGUCCAUGAGUUGGAAGCCCAGGUCGAUGACAGAUGUCAUCGGCAUGCCACAGUACAACAAACUGAUCAUAGGGACUAGAAACCGUGAAAUCCAGCUAUGUGAAUUCUCCAACUGGGAGCCUUACUGUCAGAUCAGUGGCUUAGAAGGUGUUCCUCUGAAACUGGACUACUGGUAAGAGCAUCUCCAGGACCAGCAGGGCCUCAGGGGGGUACACUCUUUCCAAGGCACUGGGGCCUUCUCUCCUCUCUCCUUGGGCAGUUACAUUCAGUUGUGUUCAAUCAGUAAAUGUCAGGGCUUCAUGCAGCCUGUCAUGACCAUGCCACGCAUCACAGUACUACCCAGAAUGGAGGGGACCUUCCUACAUCUGAUAAUGAAAGGGAAGCCCAGAGAGAUGAAAUGAUUUUUGGAGUCAUGCAAUUAUGAAUUCAUCUGUUUUAAAUGCAGCUGGAUUAAUUUUCUUGAAACUUGACUUUGACUAUGUUACUCUGCUUUUAAUGGUUCCCUCUCCCAAAAUUUUCACACCUUCAGAGAACAUCCAAACCCCUCUCUGUCUUUUCAGCUUUAAUCCCCUCUGAGCCUUCAGGCCUCCCAAGCACCAACAUAGCUGAACAGAGACUCCCAACUUGGAUCAGGCAUUGUCACCACCAUGCUGUUCCCAAUGUUGCUCCCUUCCCCAACCAUCCACCCACCAUGUUUCUUGAGCACGUAGAUGCACCCUCAUUGUUGGAUGUGGGACAUAUGCAUGAAUGAGACAAGAUUCCUAGGGGCUCUCACAGUCCUACAGAGUGGGUGGUUCAUGCUGAAAUCCUGACAUUCUUCAUGGCCCAAACUUCCGUGGUUUCCUCUGAAUCUCCUCCAUACCCAAAAGUCAAUGUCUCCUAGAAGCUUCCCCAACCUUUGGCAUUCAUUGGUGGUCCUGCAUAUCAUAGGAUUCAGGUCCUGAGUAACUCACAGGCAGCACCAGUGCCUUAGUCUAUGCUGUGAGUUCCUGCAUACUGACUGGCAGGCUCAUUGCAGGCUCUCAAGAAAUGUUUGUUGAAUGGCCAAGUCAGAAAAAUCUUAUGUAAGUGGACAAAAGGAGGCUCUAGUUUUAUUUUGUCUUUCUUUCCCCACUUUUCCUUUAUCUUCUGUGUGAGUGUGUGUGUUUGUGUGUGUGUGAAGGGAGUCCUUUGCUA
rnacentral:lncRNA from 12 species